rnacentral:tRNA from 1 species
GUCGUCGUGGCCUAGUGGUUAAGGCGACAGACUUGAAAUCUGUUGGGCUAUGCCCGCACAGAUUCGAAUCCUGUCGGCGACG